GAUGAAGAGCGCAGCGAAAUGCGAUAAGUAGUGUGAAUUGCAGAAUUCAGUGAAUCAUCGAAUCUUUGAACGCACAUUGCGCCCUUUGGUAUUCCUUAGGGCAUGCCUGUUCGAGCGUCAUUUAAACCUUCAAGCUCAGCUUGGUGUUGGGUGACUGUCCGCUUCACCGCGGACUCGCCUCAAAAUUAUUGGCGGCCGGUACAUUGGCUUCGAGCGCAGCAGAAACGCGAACUCGGGCCCGUCGUAUUGGCUCCCAGAAGCUAUCUUCACAAUUUUGACCUCGGAUCAGGUAGGGAUACCCGCUGAACUUAAGCAUAUCAAUAAGCGGAGGA
rnacentral:misc_RNA from 1 species